rnacentral:lncRNA from 10 species
CUCCCAGCUGCAAAAGCAACUAUGGCUUUCUUUGUUCCCCCACCUGUGGAGUCAGCACACCAGAUAGAUUGACGCGCUGCCCCAAGUUCUGGCCAGGAGACUUCUCCCUCAGUUCAAAUUGUUACAAAAUUCAGCUGGAGAUUUCCUUCUCCCUGUGGCCUUUUCCCAGCACCUUUGGCCAUCCUCCCAAAGCGCCUCUGUGAGGCCAGGCAAAAACAGCUUGCCAGGGGACCCAGCGAGCUCCCACGGCUUUUCCCACUGCUUCCUCUACCCCUGUAUUUCACUGGCUUUCUAAAUUUACUCAGCUCCAGAUUCAAUGACUUCUGUUUGGGAGGAGUGAAAAAACAAAUCAGAAAUUGAGAAAAUCAUUGAGAAGUGAAUAACGAAGCAGGCUGCAAAUGGUGGAGGAUAAAGGGAAAGAGACAGAGCUGAUUCUACCGGGGAUCCAACAGAGCUUUGAUGAUAUGGACUGUUUCCUGUUUUGCCUGUGAAGAUUGUCCAGAGCUAAAGUAAGAAAACAUGUGGAGAAUAUGGAGAUAAAAUAUGAGACAAAAGGUAGAAAAUGGACAAAAGGAA